UACAGAGGGUGCAAGCGUUGUUCGGAAUUAUUGGGCGUAAAGCGCGUGUAGGCGGCUUGUUAUGUCGGGUGUGAAAGCCCUCAGCUUAACUGAGGAAGUGCGCCCGAAACUGGCGAGCUUGAGUGCCGGAGAGGAUAGCGGAACACCCGGUGUAGAGGUGAAAUUCGUAGAUAUCGGGUAGAACACCAGUGGCGAAGGCGGCUAUCUGGACGGACACUGACGCUGAGACGCGAAAGCCAGGGGAGCAAACGGG
rnacentral:rRNA from 1 species